CCCGCUGAACUUAAGCAUAUCAAUAAGCGGAGGAAAAGAAACUAACAAGGAUUCCCCUAGUAACGGCGAGUGAAGCGGGAAAAGCUCAAAUUUAAAAUCUGGCAGGUUCCCUGUCCGAGUUGUAGUUUCAAGAAACGUUUUCGGCGUACUCCCGGGUAUAAGUCCUUUGGAACAGGGCAUCAUAGAGGGUGAGAAUCCCGUUUAUGACUCGGAGUUGUGCGCUAUGUGUUACGUUUUCUAAGAGUCAGGUUGUUUGGGAAUGCAGCCUAAAAUGGGUGGUAAAUUUCAUCUAAAGCUAAAUAUUUGCGAGAGACCGAUAGCGAACAAGUACCGUGAGGGAAAGAUGAAAAGAACUUUGAAAAGAGAGUUAAACAGUACGUGAAAUUGUUGAAAGGGAAACGUUUAAAGUCAGUCGCGUCGACCGAGACUCAGCCUCGCCUCGGCUUGGUGUACUUCUCGGCCGACGGGUCAGCAUCAAUUUUGAUCCUUGGAUAAUGGCAAGGGAAAGGUAGCACCUUUACAGGUGUGUUAUAGUCCUCUGUCGUAUGCAAGGGUCGGGAUUGAGGAACUCAGCAUGCACCUCGUCGGUGUCGGGGCCUUUUGGCCUACGUUACGUGCUUAGGAUGCUGGCAUAAUGGCUUUAAACGACCCGUCUUGAAACACGG
rnacentral:rRNA from 1 species